rnacentral:tRNA from 1 species
GCCUGGGUGGCUUAGUCAGCUAAGCAUCUGACUUCAGCUCAGGUUAUCAUCUUCUGGGUUUUGAGUUCAAGUCCCACAUCGGGCU